CACUAUGUUGGUGCUCUUUACCACUUCUGGUUUGGUGCUGCCUGAUUCAAUCUAUUUUUGCUCAAAUAAAUGCAUAAAAAUGUUAAUGUUUCCAUAUAUCUUUUGACAGUUUUGACAUCAGAAGAGGGGACUGAAGGAAAGUCCCCACAGUCCCCAGGAGAAAUGAACAACCAGGGAAAGCUACUUGCUGAGACCCCUGAAUUUGCUGCACCUUUGGAGGUGCUGGGGAUCCAGCAAUGCUACAUGAUUGAGCUGUAGGAUGAGGAUGAUCUGGCCCCAGAGAAGCUGUAUCUGCCACCAGAGAUAACAACUUUCACAUGGAGAGCAGAGAGAAUGUUUCCUGGACAAAGGGAAUGACUGACAGAUAUUAAACGGGAGGAAAUUGAAGGCUCUGCCAAGUUUCAUGAUAAAAUGCUAUUUCUCACGGUAAGGUCAAGCUGUCUCUAGUGCAGCUACUGCUUUUAAAAAUAUAAAGGGAACAAAAACAUUCAACAGAGAGCAUCAGGCUUUGCAAAGAGUAUGUGAUCAAAGGC
rnacentral:lncRNA from 1 species